UUUUCCAGAAGACUCUGUGAUCCAUCAAACUGGACAAUUAACAGCAGACCCAUCAAGAAACACAGUGGCAACUGUAAAACAAUAGCCUUAAAAGUAAGCAUGGCUUCAACAUCAUUUCAACAGAAAACAGAACCCAAAAAAGAAAAGAAAAAAAGAAAAAUCGCGGAUGAAGGAAGAGUAUUCAGUGAAAAAUGGACCGAUGAGUACUUUUUUGUCAAGACAAAUACUAAGGCACUAUGCUUAAUUUGUAGGGAAAAUGUGUCAGUUUUCAAAGACUACAAUUUGAAAAGGCAUUAUAUGGAAAAACAUGCUGCCAAAUUUGAAGCGUAUCAAGGAAUUUGUCAUAAAGACAAAUUAGCGGAACUGAAAAAAAGUCUGUUGUCUCAACAAUUUUUUUUUUAAAGUCACAACUCAAAAGGAUUCUAUUAUAAAAGCUAGUUAUUUGGUAGCAAAUCUGGUUGCAAAAAAAUCAAAACCAUUUACCGAUGGUGAGUUUAUUAAGCAAUGUAUGGAAAGCGUGGCAGAUAUAAUUUGUCCUGAUAAAAAAAACUAUUUUUCUAAAAUCAGUUUGUCUCACCAGACUAUAGCCAGGCGAACUGAAGAAAUAGGAAAAUCUGUCGAAAGAGGUUUGAAGAGUAAAGCUGCUAAUUUCAAAUUUUAUGCUUUGGCGAUGGAUGAAAGUACUGAUGCUACAGAUAUGGCUCAACUUGCCAUUUUUAUUAGAGGUAUUGAUAAGGAAUAUGUCACUGAAGAAAUGGCUUCUUUGGUGCCAUUAAAAGACACAACUAAAUCUCUUGAUUUGUA